rnacentral:rRNA from 1 species
GACGGAGGGUGCUAGCGUUGUUCGGAAUUACUGGGCGUAAAGGGCGCGUAGGCGGCCUGUUAAGUCGGGUGUGAAAGCCCGGGGCUCAACCCCGGAACGGCACCCGAGACUGACGGGCUUGAGACCGAGAGAGGAGAGUGGAAUACCCAGUGUAGAGGUGAAAUUCGUAGAUAUUGGGUGGAACACCAGUGGCGAAAGCGGCUCUCUGGCUCGGUUCUGACGCUGAGGCGCGAAAGCGUGGGGAGCAAACAGG